rnacentral:rRNA from 1 species
UGGGGAAUCUUGCGCAAUGGACGAAAGUCUGACGCAGCGACGCCGCGUGAGCGAUGAAGGCCUUCGGGUUGUAAAGCUCUGUGGGGAGAGACGAAUAAGGUGCAGCUAAUACCUGCAUCGAUGACGGUAUCUCCUUAGCAAGCACCGGCUAACUCUGUGCCAGCAGCCGCGGUAAUACGGAGGGUGCGAGCGUUGUCCGGAAUCACUGGGCGUAAAGGGCGCGUAGGCGGCCUGGUAAGUAGGGGGUGAAAUCCUGCGGCUUAACCGCAGGGCUGCCUUCUAAACUGUCAGGCUCGAGCACAGUAGAGGCAGGUGGAAUUCCCGGUGUAGCGGUGGAAUGCGUAGAGAUCGGGAAGAACAUCAGUGGCGAAGGCGGCCUGCUGGGCUGUUGCUGACGCUGAGGCGCGACAGCGUGGGGAGCAAA